rnacentral:rRNA from 1 species
ACGAGCGGCGAACGGGUGAGUAACACGUGAGCAACCUACCCUCAACUUCGGGAUAAGCCUCGGAAACGGGGUCUAAUACCGGAUAUCACCAGCUUCCUCAUGGUUGUUGGUUGAAAGUUCUGGCGGUUGGGGAUGGGCUCGCGGCCUAUCAGCUUGUUGGUGGGGUAAUGGCCUACCAAGGCGUCGACGGGUAGCCGGCCUGAGAGGGCGACCGGCCACACUGGGACUGAGACACGGCCCAGACUCCUACGGGAGGCAGCAGUGGGGAAUAUUGCGCAAUGGACGAAAGUCUGACGCAGCAACGCCGCGUGAGGGAUGACGGCCUUCGGGUUGUAAACCUCUUUCAGCAGGGACGAAGCGAGAGUGACGGUACCUGCAGAAGAAGGACCGGCCAACUACGUGCCAGCAGCCGCGGUAAUACGUAGGGUCCGAGCGUUGUCCGGAAUUAUUGGGCGUAAAGGGCUCGUAGGCGGUUCGUCACGUCGGGAGUGAAAACUCGGAGCUCAACUCCGAGCCUGCUUCCGAUACGGGCAGACUAGAGGUAGGCAGGGGAGAGCGGAACUCCUGGUGUAGCGGUGGAAUGCGCAGAUAUCAGGAAGAACACCGGUGGCGAAGGCGGCUCUCUGGGCCUUACCUGACGCUGAGGAGCGAAAGCGUGGGUAGCGAACAGGAUUAGAUACCCUGGUAGUCCACGCCGUAAACGUUGGGCGCUAGGUGUGGGGGACAUUCCACGUCCUCCGUGCCGCAGCUAACGCAUUAAGCGCCCCGCCUGGGGAGUACGGCCGCAAGGCUAAAACUCAAAGGAAUUGACGGGGGCCCGCACAAGCGGCGGAGCAUGCGGAUUAAUUCGAUGCAACGCGAAGAACCUUACCUGGGUUUGACAUAUAGGGAAAUCCUCCAGAGAUGGGGGGUCCGUAAGGGUCCUAUACAGGUGGUGCAUGGCUGUCGUCAGCUCGUGUCGUGAGAUGUUGGGUUAAGUCCCGCAACGAGCGCAACCCUCGUCCUAUGUUGCCAGCACGUUAUGGUGGGGACUCAUAGGAGACUGCCGGGGUCAACUCGGAGGAAGGUGGGGAUGACGUCAAGUCAUCAUGCCCCUUAUGUCCAGGGCUUCACGCAUGCUACAAUGGCCGGUACAAAGGGCUGCGAAACCGCAAGGUGGAGCGAAUCCCAAAAAGCCGGUCUCAGUUCGGAUUGGGGUCUGCAACUCGACCCCAUGAAGUCGGAGUCGCUAGUAAUCGCAGAUCAGCAACGCUGCGGUGAAUACGUUCCCGGGCCUUGUACACACCGCCCGUCACGUCAUGAAAGUCGGCAACA